rnacentral:rRNA from 1 species
AUUGAACGCUGGCGGCAUGCCUUACACAUGCAAGUCGAACGGCAGCACGGACUUCGGUCUGGUGGCGAGUGGCGAACGGGUGAGUAAUGUAUCGGAACGUACCUUUCAGUGGGGGAUAACGUAGCGAAAGUUACGCUAAUACCGCAUAUUCUGUGAGCAGGAAAGCAGGGGAUCGCAAGACCUUGCGCUGAUUGAGCGGCCGAUAUCAGAUUAGCUAGUUGGUGGGGUAAAGGCCUACCAAGGCGACGAUCUGUAGCGGGUCUGAGAGGAUGAUCCGCCACACUGGGACUGAGACACGGCCCAGACUCCUACGGGAGGCAGCAGUGGGGAAUCUUCCGCAAUGGGCGCAAGCCUGACGGAGCAACGCCGCGUGGGUGAAGAAGGCCUUCGGGUUGUAAAGCCCUGUCUUAUGGGAAGAAGUCAGUGACGGUACCAUAGGAGGAAGCCCCUGCUAACUACGUG